GGCGAACGGGUGAGUAACACGUGGGCAACCUGCCCCCGACUCUGGGAUAAGCCCGGGAAACUGGGUCUAAUACCGGAUACGAGCCUCCUCCGCAUGGAGGAGGUUGGAAAGGGUCUCCGGUCGGGGAUGGGCCCGCGGCCUAUCAGCUUGUUGGUGGGGUAACGGCCCACCAAGGCGACGACGGGUAGCCGGCCUGAGAGGGUGAACGGCCACACUGGGACUGAGACACGGCCCAGACUCCUACGGGAGGCAGCAGUAGGGAAUCUUGCGCAAUGGGCGAAAGCCUGACGCAGCGAUGCCGCGUGCGGGACGAAGGCCCUCGGGUUGUAAACCGCUUUCAGCAGGGACGAAGCGAAAGUGACGGUACCUGCAGAAGAAGGUCCGGCCAACUACGUGCCAGCAGCCGCGGUAAUACGUAGGGACCGAGCGUUGUCCGGAUUCAUUGGGCGUAAAGAGCUCGUAGGCGGCUUGUCGCGUCGGAUGUGAAAGCCCGGGGCUUAACCCCGGGUCUGCAUUCGAUACGGGCAGGCUAGAGUGUGGUAGGGGAGAUCGGAAUUCCUGGUGUAGCGGUGAGAUGCGCAGAUAUCAGGAGGAACACCGGUGGCGAAGGCGGAUCUCUGGGCCAUUACUGACGCUGAGGAGCGAAAGCGUGGGGAGCGAACAGGAUUAGAUACCCUGGUAGUCC
rnacentral:rRNA from 1 species